GGUGAGUAACACGUGGGCAAUCUGCCCUUCACUCUGGGACAAGCCCUGGAAACGGGGUCUAAUACCGGAUAACACUCUGUCCCGCAUGGGACGGGGUUAAAAGCUCCGGCGGUGAAGGAUGAGCCCGCGGCCUAUCAGCUUGUUGGUGGGGUAAUGGCCUACCAAGGCGACGACGGGUAGCCGGCCUGAGAGGGCGACCGGCCACACUGGGACUGAGACACGGCCCAGACUCCUACGGGAGGCAGCAGUGGGGAAUAUUGCACAAUGGGCGAAAGCCUGAUGCAGCGACGCCGCGUGAGGGAUGACGGCCUUCGGGUUGUAAACCUCUUUCAGCAGGGAAGAAGCGAAAGUGACGGUACCUGCAGAAGAAGCGCCGGCUAACUACGUGCCAGCAGCCGCGGUAAUACGUAGGGCGCAAGCGUUGUCCGGAAUUAUUGGGCGUAAAGAGCUCGUAGGCGGCUUGUCACGUCGGAUGUGAAAGCCCGGGGCUUAACCCCGGGUCUGCAUUCGAUACGGGCUAGCUAG
rnacentral:rRNA from 1 species